rnacentral:rRNA from 1 species
GACGAACGCUGGCGGCGUGCUUAACACAUGCAAGUCGAACGGUAAGGCCCUUCGGGGUACACGAGUGGUGAACGGGUGAGUAACCCGUGGGUGAUCUGCCCUGCCCUUCGGGAUAAGCCUGGGAAACUGGGUCUUAUACCGGAUAGGACCACUGCCUGCAUGGGUGGUGGUGGAAAGCUGUUGCGGUGUGGGAUGGGCCCGCGGCCUAUCAGCUUGUUGGUGGGGUGAUGGCCUACCAAGGCGACGACGGGUAGCCGGCCUGAGAGGGUGACCGGCCACACUGGGACUGAGAUACGGCCCAGACUCCUACGGGAGGCAGCAGUGGGGAAUAUUGCACAAUGGGCGCAAGCCUGAUGCAGCGACGCCGCGUGAGGGAUGACGGCCUUCGGGUUGUAAACCUCUUUCAGCACCGACGAAGCGCAAGUGACGGUAGGUGCAGAAGAAGGACCGGCCAACUACGUGCCAGCAGCCGCAGUAA